rnacentral:lncRNA from 1 species
AUGUCAUUUUGCAGGUUCCUAACUAGUGUGGCAGCUCAUGUCUUAUGCCUUUCUGAAUGGAACCUUUAUUACUAAAUAUCUCCAGAAAUAUCAGUCGUAAGAAAAUAAUUUCACUGCGAAAAUUGCACAAAAAAUUGCCGGAAUUAGAUUCCGUUAGAAAAAUAAUACACUUUCAUUUGAAAAAACCAAAUUGAAGUACGUGCUGCGCAAGAGGAUGCACAGAAAAGAAUUUUAAUGAUGGAUUGUGGUGUGGAGGGGAAGUGUAGCAGGACAUGUGCUUUGCACUUUUCACGUAUACCCCAGUGGUUUUUAAGAGAAGUGCCUGGUCCACAGAAACAUGGGCACCCUGUAUAUGUAGCGAUAGAACUAAUAAUAGAUCAAAUUGCAAAAAGACUCAUUUCAUCUCAUAGAAUCAUUUAUCAUUGUCUACAGAAGAUAAGAAAGAUAUCUGAACUUAGAAAGUAAACGCUGUAUUGAGCUAUUGCAAGCCAAUCAUCAACAAUGAAUAAAAAUCUGCAUUCCUUUUUUAAUCCACUAUGCACAAGUGUCGUUUAACUGUUUUAUAACAGACAAUGAUAAAUGAAUAGAUAAAAAUCUAAACCAACAGUAGAGAGAUUGCAUUAAAAGCAAAUACUCUUGGCUGUUUGAUGGAAUAUUAUCACUUGGCUCCUUUUAGUUAAGUCAUUGUACUAGUUUACUUGAGCUGAUAAAGUGAAUAAUUUUUCUUGAUGGGGAAUCUAUUAUGUAAGACAGUGCUCUGACACAAAUACCAAAGGGCUUGUUUGUUUAUAGUUUGUGGCUUAUAGGAUGAUGAUCUCUUGUUCAAUAUCUCUUUCUCUGGUCACUAUUAUGGGACCAGAUGAAUAGAUAGAGAACAAUUC